rnacentral:rRNA from 1 species
UGUUUGAUGUUCUAACGUGGACCCGUGAUCCGGGUUGCGGACAGUGUCUGGUGGGUAGUUUGACUGGGGCGGUCUCCUCCUAAAGAGUAACGGAGGAGCACGAAGGUUGGCUAAUCCUGGUCGGACAUCAGGAGGUUAGUGCAAUGGCAUAAGCCAGCUUGACUGCGAGCGUGACGGCGCGAGCAGGUGCGAAAGCAGGUCAUAGUGAUCCGGUGGUUCUGAAUGGAAGGGCCAUCGCUCAACGGAUAAAAGGUACUCCGGGGAUAACAGGCUGAUACCGCCCAAGAGUUCAUAUCGACGGCGGUGUUUGGCACCUCGAUGUCGGCUCAUCACAUCCUGGGGCUGAAGUAGGUCCCAAGGGUAUGGCUGUUCGCCAUUUAAAGUGGUACGCGAGCUGGGUUUAGAACGUCGUGAGACAGUUCGGUCCCUAUCUGCCGUGGGCGCUGGAG